rnacentral:rRNA from 3 species
AAAUUGAAGAGUUUGAUCAUGGCUCAGAUUGAACGCUGGCGGCAGGCCUAACACAUGCAAGUCGAACGGUAACAGGAAGAAGCUUGCU